rnacentral:rRNA from 1 species
UACGUAGGGGGCAAGCGUUGUCCGGAUUUAUUGGGCGUAAAGCGCACGCAGGCGGUCUUUUACGUUUCCAGUGACAGGUGGCGGCUUAACUGCCACAGGACUGGGAAAACGGGGAGACUUGAGCACUGGAGAGGGAUGCGGAAUUCCAGGUGGAGCGGUGAAAUGCGUAGAGAUCUGGAAGAACACCAAAGGCGAAGGCGGCAUCCUGGACCAACACUGACGCUGAGUGAGCGAAAGCCAGGGGAGCAAACGGG